GCCAGGUGCAGUGGCACAUGCCUGUAGUCCCAGCUACUUGGGAGGCUGAGGCGGGAGGAUUGCUGGAACCCAGGAGCCCUGGGCUAGAGUGCACUAUGCUGAUUGGGUGUCCACACUAAACUUGGCGCCAAUAUGGUGACCUCCUAGGAGCAAGGACCACCAGGUCACCUAAAGAGGAGUGAACCAGCCCAGGUCAGAUGUGGAGCAGGUCAAAACUCCUGUGCUGAUCAGUAGUGGGAUUGCGCCUGCGAAUAGCACUGCACUCCAACCUGAGCAAUGUAGCAAGACCCCAUCACU
ensembl:misc_RNA Metazoa_SRP Metazoan signal recognition particle RNA